UCUUGUCGAACAGAAUGUUGCACACCGUUCUUUGCUUUUUUGUCGUCGAUAAUUGAGAAUUAAUUUUAGUAUAUAAACGACAGCGAUUCUACAGGUUAUCGUUAGUAUAAUAUCAAUUUUUGUAAUUUCUUGAAACUCUCAAUAAUAUUUAAAAAAAAUGACUUGUAAAGGUUGUGGAACAAAUUGUCAAUGCACUUCUACUAAGUGCGGAACUGGCUGCAAAUGCGAUGCUCAAUGCAAUUGUCCAUGCAAGUCACAAGAUAACGGAAAG